rnacentral:rRNA from 1 species
UACGUAGGGACCAAGCGUUGUCCGGAAUCAUUGGGCGUAAAGAGCGUGUAGGCGGCUUGUUAAGUCUUGCGUGAAAUCUCGGGGCUCAACCCCGAGCGGUCGUGAGAAACUGGCAGGCUAGAGUGCGGGAGAGGAGAGUGGAAUUCCUGGUGGAGCGGUGAAAUGCGCAGAGAUCAGGAGGAACACCCGUAGCGAAGGCGGCACUCUGGGCCGAUACUGACACUGAGGAGCGAAAGCGUGGGGAGCGAACAGG